rnacentral:rRNA from 1 species
UAAUACGUGCACUCGAUGCCCAACUGCCUCGGCGGACGGGCUGCAUUGAUUAGAUCGAAACCAAUGCGCCUUCGGGCGGUUCUGUGGUGAAUCAUAAUCACUUGCUGAUCGCAUGCUUUUACGCGGCGACGUUUCAUUCAAGUUUCUGCCCUAUCAGCUUUGGAUGGUAGGGUAUUGGCCUACCAUGGCUUUUAACGGGGUAACGGGGGAAUUGGGGUUC